AGAUAAUUGAGAACCACUGGAGUUUGUUGAAGGAGGGGUGCGACCUGGUCAGACCUGUGUUUUAAGGAGAUCACUUUGGCAGAUGGCACUCCAACAUUCUUGGGGUGCACCCUGAACUCAUCACAUGGAGAUUGAACUGGAGCAAGGAGAACUUUGAGGCAGGGAAACAAAUUAGACUGAUUGGAAUGGCCCAAAUGAGAAGUGAUGAGGUCCUGGACUAGGAGUGAUGACUGGCUGAGAGAAGAAGACUAAUGUAAGAGAAGCAGAGGCAGAAUCAAGUCUUGUUAGACCUGUCACUGAUUGGAUAUGAAGGAUGAGAGUGAAGAAUCGAGAAUGACUCCAGGGCAGAUAAAGUCCACAGAUAAAAGACUAGAGUCUUGAUGGCUACAGGGGCUGGACAUGGGAAGUGUGAAUUUGUCAGAGCGGUGUUCUCUCAAUUGCCUUGUUGCCAAGUCCUUAUUUCCUUGGAUCAAAGUUACUGAGAGUAUCUAAUCUGAAAUUUGAAAGGAAGGAAGAGCUAAACCCUUAAAUAUAUGAAGGCUAAUGUUAUAAUCUCAUAUUUACAGUGUU